GUGAAUAGGCAUGGCUUAAAAUAGUUUAUUUAAUUUGACCUCGACAUUCUUGCUGGAUAGAUAGUUUUUUAGCUAGGCCGUUAUUGUAAAUAAGAAGUUGUUCUUAACUGACUUGCCUAGUUAAAUAAAGGUUUAAAAAAAAUAUAUUUAAAAAAUAAUACAUUUAAAAAUUGUUAACAUGCUACAGCUGCUAGCUAGCUAAUGCUAACGACGCUCCCAAGAGCAGCGGACCGGUAAGGCAAUUUUGCUUUCGAACUUUGUAAUCAUCUGUAACGGUGUUUUUACAUGCAUCAUACAAGCUAGUUAACAUUAGAUAUUUUGUUUAAAACCCUGUUGAUCUCGUUGGUUGUUUCUUUGGAACUAGCUAGCUAAGCUAUCACUAGCUAGCUAGGUGGUUAAUGUGGUGUAGGCUACAGUAUUACAGAAUGACAACAUUAUAGCCUUGUCACUAGUUAGUAGUUGGUUGAUAUGGGGUACAGUAGGCUACAGUACAACAAUAGCCUUCCUACUGUUCUGUUAUUUGUUGUCUGGAAAUUAAAUGAGCUAAUAUUAUAGACAGCUCACAAAUGCAGUUGUGGUAGUGUCACAUUGCCUUUGGCCGUACCAUAGCUGCUGCUAUGGAUAUGCAUUUUACUUGACAGCUCUGCCCUCUGCCAAGUCGCCAUUGAAAAAAUGCUGUUAUUUUCAACGUGUUAAAAUAAGCUAAUGGUUGUGCACUCUCACUAGAUCGAGUUGUUUGGUUCAGUGGCACAUUUUCAAAAUGAAGUGGACUUACAGUAUAUCAUCAGCAAUCUUCAAUCAGAUGGGACAACUAACCCUAAUUGAAUUGUAUUCAUCAAUGUGGUUACUAAUUAUUGUUAAUAUUCCAAUUGUCUAGGCCCUCAAUUCCCAAACCUGAAGCCCCAUGUCCUUCGCAGGUGUAACAGGGUUAUAUUGGUGAUUCCCCUUGCCACUUUAUUGUUAAGCCAAUGGGUUUUUGGUUUGAGUUUGUCUUGCCUUCACCUACUCAACAUGGCAUCUUAUUGGCUGGUUUGCGUAGCUUGCUUACGAGGGGGGAUGUUCCAGUUAGAAUCGUCCCAGUGAACAAGCACCAAACCAGCGGUAAGUUGUUGGUUGCAAAGCACCGUACGUCAAAAGUGAUUUUAUGCUCUCAAGUGAUGAUUUAAAUGUACAAUUUAUAUCAAAUAGUUCGUAAAUGUUAUUCAAACAUCACACAUAAGAUGCAGGGGUUUUUGGAGAAUAUUUGUUGUGCAUUUUGUUGUAGAGAAUUCACGCCAGUAUUAGCUAGCAACUUACUGUGUCUGGUGGGGGGGGUUCAUAUAUUUUGUACAGUGCGUGAGUGCAGAGUUGGAUGGUGAGACGGGCAUUGCAUGACGUGCAAUCUUGUGUCGUUCUUAUCAGGUACAUUGUUAAACAUAUUAUAUUGUAAUUGUAUUAUUUUGGUAACUGCCCAGUGAACAAGCACCAAACCAGCGUGCGUGAGUGCAGAGUUGGAUGGUGAGACGGGCAUUGCAUGACGUGCAAUCUUGUGUCGUUCUUAUCAGAAUAAAGCUACAUGACUGGUGCUACAUAUUGGAGUUCCGUGUCAAUGACUGAUGUACACAACGCAAGAAGAGUACUGUUACACAGCUCUGCCAACCAGGCUCGGUGGGUGACAACUAACCAUGUUUCCACCAGGCUGUUCCAGGCCUGGAGUGACACGCUGGAACUUCAAGAGGCUUGUAGACCUGAAGCAGUGUGAUGUUGUCCAGACACCCCUAUUAGCUCAACCACAGCCCCCACAGCUGCAGUCACCUGCCCCUGCACCUGCUACACUGGCCAUGACAGGUGAUACAGCUCCAGAUGACAAAACCUGCACACACUCGAGGGUUGCAGAGGGGCGAGGCAGAUGAUUAACAGCGUCCGCCUGCUUCCCAACCAAAACAGAAGAAUUUCGCAUUUUAUUUUUAUUGUCGGUUGUUUGGGCAAACUAUUUUGGUGCAGUAUUUCUCAAUGGAAAAAUGUGUAUGAAAACAAGUAAUCUCUCGUUAAACGACAGACUUUACUGAAGAAUCCCUCCUGUUGACCAAUCACAGACGAAGGGCCGUAGACUUCGAAUUGCCUAAACAAACAUUUUUGUGUGCCUGAACAACCGGGGGAAAAAAAGGUCCAAAACGUCACAAAAUGUUGUCAUAAUACAUUAUAUACAAGAGUAUGUGGACACCCCUUCAAAUGACUGGAUUCGGUUAUUUCAGCCACACCGUUGCUGACAGGUGUAUAAAAUCGAGUGCACAGCCAAGCAAUCUCCAUAGACAAAUAUUGGCAGUAGAAUGACCUUACUGAUGAGCUCAGUGACUUUCAACGUGGCACCAUCAUAGGAUACCACCUUUCCAACAAAUCAGUUUGUUAAAGUUCUGCCUUGCAGAACUGUAAAUGCUGUUAUUGUGAAGUGGAAACUUCUAGGAGCAACAACAGCUCAGCUGAGAAGUGGUAGGCCACACAAGCUCACAGAAUGGGACCGAGUGCUGAAGCGCGUAGCGUGUAAAAAUCAACACUCACUAUUGAGUUACAAACUGCCUCUGGAAGCAACGUCAACAAGAGAACUGUUCAUUGGGAGCUUCAUGAAAUGGGUUUUAAUGGCCGAGCAGCCGCACACAAGCCUAAGAUAACCAUACGCAAUGUGUAAAGCUCACCACCAUUGGACUCAGUGGAAACGCGUUCUCUGGAGUGAUGAAUAACCCUUCACCAUCUGGCAGUCCGAUGGACGAAUCUGGGUUUGGCAGAUGCCAGGAGAAUGCAACCUGCCCGAAUGCAUAAUGCCAACUCUAAUGUUUGGUGGAGGAGGAAUAAUGGUUUGGGCCUGUUUUCUUAGUUUGGGCUAGGCCGCUUAGUUCCAGUGAAGGGUACUGUGACAUUCUAGACGAUUCUGUGCUUCUAACUUUGUGGCAACAGUUUGGAGAAGGCCCUUUCCUGUUUCAGCAUGACAAUGUCCCCUGUGCACAAAGCGAGGUCUAUACAGAAAUGGUUUGUCAAGAUCGGUGUGGAAGAACUUGACUGGCCUGCACAGAGCCCUGACCUCAACCCCAUCUAACACCUUUGGGAUGAAUUAGAACGCUGACUGCGAUCCAGUCUUAAUCGCCCAACACCAGUGCCCGACCUGCUGCUCUAAUACCCUCGUGGCUGAAUGAAAGCAAGAAAGCAAUGCUCCAACAUCUAGUGGAAAGGAUUCCCACAAGAGUGGAGGCUGUUAUAGCAGCAAAUGGGGGACCAACUUCAUAUUAAUGCCCAUCAUUUUGGAAUGAGAUGCUCGACGAGCAGGUAUCGACAUACUUUUGAAAAAUCAAAGGAGAGCCGCACACUCUAGGAGCUCAGAUGCAAUAAUUGAAUAACCUAAUAUCCAACAUUUCGACAGACAAGCUGUCUUCAUCAGGGUAUAAUGACCAACACUGUGGGGUGACUGGUUUAUAUGGUGUCAACGGACACACACACAGGUGUCUGUAAUCAUGGCCGGGUGUGGCCUGAUAUCAUUGGUUAAUUUUCAGAUAUAAAAAUAACAUACUAAAAACAUGAAUGGAUAGCAUACGAUCAAAGAUACAAUUUGGCAACAUAGGCCUACAAACAUUUACACUGAAUAGCAAAACCACAAUAAUCAUGAAGUGUAUAUGCACAAACUCUUCUGAACUGUUUCGGCUGGGAAGCAUGCCUUUACUACCAUCCUCCAUCGACAGCGCCCUAGCAAAAUCGAAACCUACCAAGCAUUUUUGUCACAAUGGUUGACCUGCGUUGUUUCCAGUAGAAUUUCUACUGCUGGGGUUUGGAGGGGAGCAUUAAGUUCAUUGUGGAGAGAGGGAUUCCCGGUUGCUUGGCUUUGUACCUUUGGUAGACACUUUCUCCUGAGCAGACUGCCUCACCACUCCACCCACAUCACUUUGUGAAGUCUGAAUGACAGAUGUUAGAUACAGCAUAUGCUGUAUGGAAGCUUUUGGGGAGACAAUCAAUGUUUCUGAAUUCCAAUGGGUUGAAUGGGUUGAGAUGUUGUAUUGGGGUUGAAUACUGAAAGAACAGAUAUAAUUCCUGUCUAGAGGAAUGAUGGAGGAAGUGAACUAGCUGAAUAUCAAUGUUGCAUUGACUAGUGGAAUGUUGAUCUGACCUCUUUAAAGAAAGGACAACAUAUUUGUUUAUUUCACAUCCCCACUCUCUGGUACUACCAACGCAAUGUUCAGGGUCUGGUACAUCCCUGGACAGAUAAAAAAACAAAUUUCUUGUUAACAAACUAUAGUUUUGGCAAGUCAGUUAGGACAUCUACUUUGUGCAUGACAAGUCAUUUUUCCAACAAUUGUUUAUAGACAGAUUAUUUCACUGUAUCACAAUUCCAGUGGGUCAGAAGUUUACAUACACUAAGUUGACUGUGCCUUUAAACAGCUUGGAAAAUUCCUGAAAAUUAUGUCAUGGCUUUAGCAGUUUCUGAUAGGCUAAUUGACAUUAUUUGAGUCAAUCGGACGUGUACCUGUGCAUGUAUUUCAAGGUCUACCUUCAAACUUGGUGCCUCUUUGCUUGACAUCAUGGGAAAAAUCAGCCAAGACCUCAGAAAAAAUGGUUUGACCUCCACAAGUCUGGUUCAUCCUUGGGAGCCAUUUCCAAACGCCUGAAGGUGCCAUGUUCAUCUGUACAAGCAAUAGUAUGCAAGUAUAAACACCAUGGGAUCACGCAGCCAUCAUAUUGCUCAGGAAGGAGACGUGUUCUGUCUCUUGGAGAUUAAUGUACUUUGGUGCGAAAAUUGCAAAUCAAUCCCAGAACAAUGGCAAAGGACCUUGUGAAAAUACUUUAGGAAACAGGUACAAAAGUAUCUUUAUCCACAGUAAAAUGAGUCCUAUAUCGACAUAACCUGAAAGGCUGCUCAGCAAGGAAGAAGCCACUACUCCAAAACUGCCAUAAAAAAGCCAGACUACAGUUUGCAACUGCACAUGGGGACAAAAUAUCAUACUUUUUGGAGAAAUGUCCUCUGGUCUGAGGAAACUGUUUGGCCAUAAUGACCAUCGUUAUGUUUGGAGGAAAAAGGGGGAGGCUUGCAAGCCGAAGAACACCAUCCCAACCGUGAAGCACGGGGUAGCCGCAUCAUGUUGUGGGGGUGCUUUGCUGCAGGAGGGACUGGUGAACUAAACAAAAUAGAUGGCAUCAUGGGGAAGGAAAAUGAUGUGGAUAUAUUGAAGCAACAUCUCAAGACAUCAGUCAGGAAGUUAAAGCUUGGUCGCAAAUGGGUCUUCCAAAUGGACAAUGACCCCAACCAUACUUCCAAAGUUGUGGCAAAAUGGCUUAAGGACAACAAAGUCAAGGUAUUGGAGUAGCCAUGACAAAGUCCUGACCUCAAUCCUAUAUAAAAUUUGUGGUCAGAACUUAAAAAGUAUCUGUGAGCAAGGAGGCCUACAAACCUAACUCAGUUACACCAGCUCUGUCAGAAGGAAUGGGACAAAAUUCACCCAACUUACUGUGGGAAGCUUUUGGAAGGCUACCCUAAACAUUUGACCCAAGUUAAAGAAUUUAAAGGCAAUGUUACCAAAUACUAAUUGAGUGUAUGUAAACUUUUGACCCACUGGGAAUGUGAUGAAAUAAAUAAAAGCUGAAAUACAUCAUUCUCUCUACUAUUUUUCUGACAUUUCACAUUCUUAAAAUAAAGUGGUAAUCCUAACUGACAUCUGAUCAUGGACUUUUAUACCUGGCCCUCAGCUACUCUCAGCCCAUUCCACCUAGCAUGUAUCUCUGUCAACCGCCCUCUUAUGAUGUGCAAAUAGUCACCACAUUAACGUUAGUCUAUUCUCACUGCCGCGGAGGGCCUAGCAAGUGCGUCUACACUGAUAUUAUAAUGAGGGACAGUUCACAAAAAAAUCCAAAUUAGUGUUAGAACGUUAAAAAUAUUGCCACAAAGUAAUAUCUUCCAAAUAUUAUACUAUAGUUAUAUUACAUGUUUUCAGGAACAAGCUUGUUUUAUCAUUACAUACCAAUUUCAAUGGUUUUCCUGGUAUUGAUCAGUUUGUCCAGAUUUGCCAUCAGUUGUGCUUGUUCACUAGCAACCAGCAUGACGCUCCAUGGGUCCUCAAGGGUUUUCUGCAACAUAAAGGAAGGACGUUGAAGUUAUUUCACUGAGAAAAUGUUUGACAAAAUACCAAAAAGUCAUUUUUCUAUGGCAUAAUCUAACCAAAUGUUCAUACCCGACUGCUUACCGCUGAUUAUUAGCUUCUCUGCAGUGAUUGUAUGGUACUAUGCUGACAUCUACUGGUUAUAGUAGCCUAUGUAACUCUCACGAUACUAUAGUAAACCAUCCCUGCUUUUGAUCCCCACUGUAAAUAGACUGGGGAGAACCAGGCUCUUUAAUCCAAGCUUCAGGUCCACAUCCCGGUUCAACCCUAACCCUGGCUCUAACCCAGUCCAGUCUUACCAGUCUGAGUUUGGUCAGGACAGGAUGUUCUCUUAGUGAGUUGUUGGAAAUGUUUGGCCACAUUCUUAAAACAGUAUGUUCAUUACUCAUCAGUAACAACACCAAUUAGAGAGAGUGUUGUUCUUUGCUUGACUGUUGCUCUUACCUGGAUGGGCAGACCUUAUUCCAGUCUGUGCCCAGUGGAUAUGUUUGUGUGAAGUGUGCACUCCUGAGCCUUUCUCCCGAAGUUUCCUUCUCCCCACCGGAGAGUAAAUUAAAACGAAAAUAACUGCUUUUCAUUUGCAUAAUAUGGUUUUAAACAAAUCCCAAAAGGGAUUGUCUCGCCCAAAGAAUGUGAGGUCACAUCACAAGAAAAUCACAACCGUUUUUUAAACAGUUUCAAAAACAA